rnacentral:lncRNA from 1 species
CUUAUAUGUAUUUUUAAGACUCCACUCAGGGGUGGUCUCCUGAAGAACUUGUCUUUACUGUCCCUACAGGUUACCCAGGAUGCUUCAUAGUGCCACAACUGCCAACACCCAAGAAAUAGCAUCUUCCGUGGCCUUUCAGGCAGGAAGGGGUGAAAAGUUGGAUCCCUGUGUUGAUCAUAGGAAUCAGAAGAUCGAAGGAUUAGAACCAGCAGGAUGGCUCAGCCCAUACCGUGCAGACUACACCAGGAGGAGCGGAGCAGUAUGCAAGAAGAAACCAAAGUCCUCUCGCCCUUGUUAUACAUGCCUGCCUACCUUCCAAGCCCCGGCCAGCUCCUAAAUUCCAUGCUUCCAAAUAAGACAGUAAAAUAUUCAGCUCUGUGGAUUGCUAACAGAUUCUUGGCCUGAGCACAAGUCGCCCCUAAUGUGCCUGACUGGAUACCAAUAUAAAGUACAAUGGGU